ACCGGGCUGGCUCAGUCGGUAGAGCAUGCAACUCUUGAUCUCAGGGUCGUGAGUUCAAGCCCCACGUUGGGUA
rnacentral:tRNA from 1 species